rnacentral:lncRNA from 1 species
CCCAUUUUUGUUCUAUCUUAUUCAUCUUCAUCUUUAAACUUGGGUUUCUUUUCAAAAACAACCUGUAAACAAUCGAUUUGAAAACACCCAUCAAACAAUUACCAAAAUCCACCAGCUCCAUCCACGAACUCCAGCGAAGAGUGACCGCCGCCAUUCCCCUCCCUUUUCCCUUUUUACGUUUUCUUCUAUUGUAUAGGUGUUUUUGGCUCCAACUCCGGUGAACAACGAUCAUGAAUUUCGACGAGGCUCUGCAAAUCAGCAACCACCAUAGCCUCUCUCCCAACGCCAAAAUCAGCAAACCCAUUUCUUGAACCAGUUAACAACACCAACACGGCUCCACGACCGAGCUUCAUCCCAUUUUCCGGUGACCCUCUGUUUGCUUUCAAUUCUAAUAUUUUAUUAUGAUUUAUUUUUCUUUUACAUUUUUCACUCUUUUCUCUGUGUUUCAGAUUUGGUUAGGGAGUUCAAGCUCCCAUAAUUUUUCAUUUUUUCAUAUUCCUUGUUCAAGUUUGUCAUUGAUUGUAUGCUAUUAAACUUUGUUGUGGAUUAUUUUAUUUUUUGGUUUGAUAUUAAUGUUUUUUGGGCAGCGGGUUAGAACUUUUCCAAGCAGCUUUUUUGCUUUAAUUUGCUGAUUUUUUUUUCAACUAUGUAAAAACUUCAGUAAUAAUAUGUACUAUAGUAGCACUUGUAAAGUAUGAACUCCAUCAAUGUCUGCAUUUCUAUCAGCCUGUAGAC